rnacentral:rRNA from 1 species
UGGCGGACGGGUGAGUAACGCGUGAGGAACCUGCCUUGAAGAGGGGGACAACAGACGGAAACGACCGCUAAUACCGAAUACGCUUGGAAGACCGCAUGAUCUUCCAAGGAAAGGGUGGCCUCUACCUGUAAGCUAUCGCCUGAAGAGGGGUUUGCGUCUGAUUAGGCAGUUGGUGAGGUAACGGCCCACCAAACCUACGAUCAGUAGCCGGUCUGAGAGGAUGAACGGCCACACUGGAACUGAGACACGGUCCAGACUCCUACGGGAGGCAGCAGUGGGGAAUCUUCCGCAAUGGGCGAAAGCCUGACGGAGCAACGCCGCGUGAGUGAUGACGGCCUUCGGGUUGUAAAGCUCUGUGAUCGGGGACGAACGGUCCGUAAGCCAAUACCUUAUGGAAGUGACGGUACCCGAAUAGCAAGCCACGGCUAACUACGUGCCAGCAGCCGCGGUAAUACGUAGGUGGCAAGCGUUGUCCGGAAUUAUUGGGCGUAAAGCGCGCGCAGGCGGCUUUCUAAGUCCAUCUUAAAAGUGCGGGGCUUAACCCCGUGAUGGGAUGGAAACUGGAAAGCUGGAGUAUCGGAGAGGAAAGUGGAAUUCCUAGUGUAGCGGUGAAAUGCGUAGAGAUUAGGAAGAACACC